ACUCCUACGGGAGGCAGCAGCUAAGAAUAUUCCGCAAUGGACGAAAGUCUGACGGAGCGACGCCGCGUGGAUGAAGAAGGCCGAAAGGUUGUAAAGUUCUUUUGCUAGGGGAGAAUAAGUGAGGGAGGGAAUGCCCUCAUGAUGACAAGGACUAGCGAAUAAGCCCCGGCCAACUACGUGCCAGCAGCCGCGGUAACACGUAGGGGGCGAGCGUUGUUCGGAAUUACUGGGCGUAAAGGGCAUGUAGGCGGCUUGGUAAGCCUGGCGUGAAAGACUGCAGCUUAACUGUAGGGAUGCGUUGGGAACUGCUUAGCUUGAGUUACGGAGAGGGAGCUGGAAUUCCUGGUGUAGGGGUGAAAUCUGUAGAUAUCAGGAAGAACACCGAUGGCGAAGGCAAGCUUCUGGUCGAUAACUGACGCUGAGGUGCGAAAGUGUGGGGAUCAAACAGGAUUAGAUACCCUGGUAGUC
rnacentral:rRNA from 1 species